UACGGGGGGAGCAAGCGUUGUUCGGAAUCACUGGGCGUAAAGGGCGCGUAGGCGGUCAGGUAAGUGGGAUGUGAAAUGCCCCGGCUCACCCGGGGACCGGCAUCCCAUACUGCUUGGCUUGAGUACGGGAGAGGAUGUGGGAAUUCCUGGUGUAGCGGUGAAAUGCGUAGAUAUCAGGAGGAACACCGGUGGCGAAGGCGCCCAUCUGGCCCGAUACUGACGCUGAGGCGCGAAAGCUAGGGGAGCAAACGGG
rnacentral:rRNA from 1 species